CCCUUAGAUGUUCUGGGCGGCCCGCGCACUACACUGGCACUCUCAAUCAGAGCCUGGAUCUAACACUUUGGGGUAUUCUAUGAAGUGGUGUCGUGACUGGGAUUAACCCUUGCAAUUAUUGGUUACGAACGAGGAAUUCCUUGUAAUCGCGGUUUAUCAGCCCGCGUUGAAUGCGUCCCUGCCCUUUGUACACACCGCCCGUCGCUCCUACCGAUGGAUCGUCCGGUGAAGCUCAUGGAGGGGCGGUUGUCUCAGCUGCCGUCGAAGUGAAAUGGACCUAACGAUCUAGAGGAAGGAGAAGUCGUAACA
rnacentral:rRNA from 1 species